AACGAACGCUGGCGGCAUGCCUAACACAUGCAAGUCGAACGAGACCUUCGGGUCUAGUGGCGCACGGGUGCGUAACGCGUGGGAACCUGCCCUUAGGUUCGGAAUAACUCCCCGAAAGGGGUGCUAAUACCGGAUAAUGUCUUCGGACCAAAGAUUUAUCGCCUUGGAUGGGCCCGCGUUGGAUUAGCUAGUUGGUAGGGUAAAAGCCUACCAAGGCGACGAUCCAUAGCUGGUCUGAGAGGAUGAUCAGCCACACUGGGACUGAGACACGGCCCAGACUCCUACGGGAGGCAGCAGUGGGGAAUAUUGGACGAUGGGCGAAAGCCUGAUCCAGCAAGGCCGCGUGAGUGAUGAAGGCCUUAGGGUUGUAAAGCUCUUUUACCCGGGAUGAUAAUGACAGUACCGGGAGAAUAAGCUCCGGCUAACUCCGUG
rnacentral:rRNA from 1 species